CGUGAUGUCUGAGUUAUUGAUACUUAGGCCAUGAUCCUGUCACCUUAGGUCGAUCGGUACCUCAAGUUGAGAAUCAAAGAAAAGCUGAUGAAUCAGCUUGGAGAUUGAUGAUUGAUUUUAGUUCCUAAACUUGUCUAGGUCACACCCCGCAAGGGUUACUCCUGGGCCAUUAGCUCAGGUGGUUAGAGCGCACCCCUGAUAAGGGUGAGGUCCCUGGUUCAAGUCCAGGAUGGCCCAUUCGGUGUUGGGGGUUUAGCUCAGUUGGUAGAGCGCCUGCUUUGCAAGCAGGAUGUCAGCGGUUCGAGUCCGCUAACCUCCACUGACGAAUCUUCUGACAACGAGCCAAUGGUGAGAACCGUUGUGUGAUGUGAUUUAGGAUUUAAGUUUGCUGGCAGACCCUAGCUUCUUAUCAUUCCAGGUCUCAAUUCAUUGAGGUUAGGUUGAUAGGACGCUGGGCUCACUGUAAUUCGCAAGAAUUGCAGAGAUGUUCAGCAGAACCUUGACAACUGCAUAGGUAAGUUCUUGGAAAGAAUAAAGCAUUCUCAUGGAUGCAUGAUUCUUGGAGUCAGCUAAUGCAAUCUUGCGCAGUAGAGAGCUGAAGUUGAUCCACGAGAAUGAUGUUUGAUUCUGGAUUCAAGAGCGGAAGACUCUAUAGCG
rnacentral:tRNA from 1 species